GUUUCUAUAGUGUAGCGGUUAUCACGAUCGCCUCACACGCGAAAGGUCCCCAGUUCGAUCCUGAGCAGAAACA